rnacentral:rRNA from 1 species
ACGCACGCUGGCGGCGUGCUUAACACAUGCAAGUCGAACGGUGAAGCGCCUUCCUUUUUGGUGGGUGUGGAUGAGUGGCGAACGGGUGAGUAACACGUGAGUAACCUGCCCCCUUCUUCUGGAUAACCGCAUGAAAGUGUGGCUAAUACGGGAUAUUCUGGGUCUGUCGCAUGAUGGGUCUGGGAAAGAUAUUGUUUCGGUGGGGGAUGGGCUCGCGGCCUAUCAGCUUGUUGGUGGGGUGAUGGCCUACCAAGGCGGUGACGGGUAGCCGGCCUGAGAGGGUGGACGGUCACACUGGGACUGAGACACGGCCCAGACUCCUACGGGAGGCAGCAGUGGGGAAUAUUGCACAAUGGGCGCAAGCCUGAUGCAGCGACGCCGCGUGAGGGAUGGAGGCCUUCGGGUUGUGAACCUCUUUCGCCUGUGAAGCAGGCCUGCCUCGUUUGUGGGUGGGUUGACGGUAGCUGGAUAAGAAGCGCCGGCUAACUACGUG